UAUUUGAAAUGAAAAGAAAAAACAGAUUCAAAUAAUUUAAAAUCAAUUAGACAAAGAGGUUAAUUUCUGCGACUGUUCGGUAUUUGACCUAAUUUAUCAAAACCGUAAUUUACUAGAAAAACGCUUUAGCACUUUUGCCUCCUUCUACCCGCAAUGACUGCAGCCAUUUGUACGUAACUCUGUGCCAGUUUACACGUGCCUUUCAAACGUGCUAAAUAUAGGCGCUAAACAGCAACCAAAAUCGAUUUUCGGGUUUGAUAAAUGACAUUGCGGGUGUUUAACAAUUGCAUUUACAUCUACUCCUCCGGGAAUUUUGCAUGGUCUGAUGAUCUAUAUACAAUCUGCAUAUUCACGAAGGAAAACACGCUAAAUUGUUUGCACACACUGUUUUGCUCAUUUGACAGACGCAAUCCUCGGUGCACCCGGUUAGUAGAUCAGCUUUCAGAGGGAUAGCAAACAAGAUUCUCUUAUCUCCUUUAACCUACUCAUGCUGACUGCGAGGAUGGACUCCACUAAAGACAAAACAGGUAAUAAAUUUUCCAGCUAGAAGAAAACAGCGGUUUGUUUUCAUAUUUGUAGUUCAAUCACAACUGUGUAUUCAAGUUCCUCUUACUGUCACUGCAGCUCAACCUGAUGAUAAGACAGAAAAGACGGUCCAGCGGAAGACCUGCUCCUGUGGACUACACUGAGAUUAGAUGUCAGCGAAGACUCCCACAUCAGAGGAAAGGCCACGCCCCCCAACUGUGGCGACCUGCAAGAUUUUCCCAACCAUCACCUCAUGAGUCGUUGACAUUUAGGUUCUUGGACUGUGAAGUCUUUGCAGUGCAGUGACCAGUGAAACAUGGAUGCCCGCCCAAGUCAACAAACAGUGGUUCAACCAUCACAGGGUAAAGUUAUUCAAGCCUCUCUCCUUCUUGUUGUGGACCCUUGUGUUUUAGUGCUUUCUAUUAGGAAUGUGACAAAAGUAGGUCAGAAAAUACCCACUUCACCAAUUUUAUAUUAUGUUUUUACUCUUUUAAAAUUCUCUCAGUCAAGAAAUGAAAGGAGAAGAGGGCCAGGACGUCUACUUAUUCACUGUAAUAAGUGAUUUCUUAAAGCAAGUCUUAGUCAACAGAUU